rnacentral:lncRNA from 1 species
UCUCAGAACUUCAAAGUGUGUUGGUAGCUCGCUGUGUUAAUCGAUAUAUGCGUAUAAGUCCUUUAAGGAACCUGCAGACACUGUUUUUUCCCCUUUUUUCUGUCUUGAGACUGUUUGAAUGCCAGUUCCUGCAUUGGUUUUGGCUUUAUCAAAAAAAUACACUUCAUCUCUUGCUGUUCGUAGCAUUUUGAGAGUAAAAGUAUAUUUUUAAAAUCACUUGCUGUUUGUCGUACUUGCCCAGUAUUAUUAUUUUUCCGGUAAGGGGGAACUGUGUAUGCAUACGAACACUGUCUGUGAUGAUGGAUUAUCCUAGACCACAACACCGUGGCAACAGUGGAAAAAGAAUUUGAUUUCCACUUGGAAAACAGUGCCAUAGCAACAUUGGAAUGAAGCAGACUUUUGGUAUUAUUUACUAGAUUACUGUAGCAUGACUUCAAGAUCCUGAUCUUUGCUUUUACUUAAUCAUCCUUUAGAUCCACUGCUUCAGCUGGUGAAAACCACUGAUGGUGCUGCCUAAAAACAAGCUGAAUAAAUCAACUCAAGCAAAGUAAACGUACGGACCCCCCCAGCAGUGGCUGUGGGCCCACGUCACGCGCCCCUGACGGAAGGAGGAGGCCGUUCCUGCGGGGUGGCGGCCUGGCUUCAGGAGCUCAUCCAGCAAGCUGGUGGUCCCUGGUGGUGGCCAGUGGGGCUACUUCUCCAGCUGCUCCAGCUCUUUCUCCUUCUCGCUGAGACGGAUCCAAAUCAGCUUUGCUGUACAGGAGGCAAAUCGUACAGCUCCAGCCUCCGAGGAGCAAGAAUCACGCCAAACGCCUUCCUUCUCGAGCUGCUGUGAAAGGAGAGCGGUGCGUCUGCUGCUUGUCACCUGGGGCAGGCUUUAAAAUACAAAAUAAGAAAUCCUUAUGAUAGCCUACCCUCCUUUGGGAUGGGAAAAUGGUGAUUGCCUUUGUCUUGCUGUUCUGUGAAGAACAUCACUUUAAUGGUGUAAUAAAUGUCAAAGCAAAACUUCUAAGUAGUUAAUU